GAGAGCCAAAUGAAUCGAAAGACUCAUGUUUGGUUCGGGAAGAUCAUGAAGUUUGCAAUGAAUGGAAAGAUAAUCUACUUUCAU
rnacentral:ncRNA from 1 species